rnacentral:misc_RNA from 1 species
AGCAGCUUCUUCUUCUCCUUCUCCUUCUUCUCUCUGGAAUGAAAAUGCCUCCCUUCACCUCUCUGCAACUUCGUUGCCUCCUAAACUGUUGCUGCCUCUCUCCUGCUCCAUCCCUCACUCAGUCCGCUUCCUCUUCCUGCUUUACCUCUACCCAUUUCACUAAAUUUACGUUCUUGCCACUUCCUCUCUGUAGACCCUUCUCCUCUCUGACCAUAAAACCUAGCAGUGACCCAGAUCCCAUAGCCCAGUCAAUAUCCGCAGAGCUCGUCAAAAGCCCUGACACUGACUCCCUCUCAAUUUCGCAAAGACUCAAUCUCAAUUUCUCUCACAUCACCAACUCCAUAACCCCGUCUUUGGUUCUGCAGACGCUCAAUCUCUCCCCUGAUGCUGGACGUACAGUGGUAGGGUUUCACCAGUGGCUGGUCACGGCUGCUGGGGUUAAUCACACGGAUGAAACGAUAUCGUUUUUUGUUUAUUUCUUUUGUCGAAGGAAGGA